rnacentral:misc_RNA from 1 species
GAUGAAGAACGUAGCGAAAUGCGAUAAGUAGUGUGAAUUGCAGAAUUCAGUGAAUCAUCGAAUCUUUGAACGCACAUUGCGCCCCUUGGUAUUCCAUGGGGCAUGCCUGUUCGAGCGUCAUUUGUACCUUCAAGCUCUGCUUGGUGUUGGGUGUUUGUCUCGCCUCUGCGUGUAGACUCGCCUCAAAACAAUUGGCAGCCGGCGUAUUGAUUUCGGAGCGCAGUACAUCUCGCGCUUUGCACUCAUAACGACGACGUUCAAAAGUACAUUUUUACACUCUUGACCUCGGAUCAGGUAGGGAUACCCGCUGAACUUAAGCAUAUCAAUAAGCGGAGGA